rnacentral:rRNA from 11 species
AUAUGUGCCCUAAAUAUCCUAAAGGCACCAGAUCCUAUUUGAUCUUGGAAGCAAAGCAGGGUCAGGCCUGCUUAGUGCUUGGAUACGAGACCGUCAACAAAUACCAGAUGAUGUAGGCU